UCAACCUUUAAUCCGGUCCAGCGAGGCCGGUAAGGGAUAAAUAUGAGAUACAAAUCAAAGGGCAUAAUUGAAAACUCGCCUCUCUUAAAAGAGGGCGAGUUUUUUGUU
rfam:Omnitrophica WOR_2 bacterium RIFCSPHIGHO2_01_FTLL_52_10 rifcsphigho2_01_scaffold_11347, whole genome shotgun sequence.